rnacentral:rRNA from 1 species
AAACUCCGCAAUGCGCGAAAGCGUGACGGGGGAACCCCAAGUGCCGUUGGACUUUUCGUUCGACGGCUUUUAUGGAGUCUAGGAAGCUCCAGGAAUAAGGGCUGGGUAAGUCGGGUGCCAGCCGCCGCGGUAAUACCCGCAGCCCAAGUGGUGGUCGCGAUUAUUGGGCCUAAAGCGCUCGUAGCCGGGUUGGCAAGUCCCUUGUGAAAUCGGGCGGCUUAACCGUUCGGCUUGCAAGGGAUACUGCCAGUCUUGAGGCCGGGAGACGUCGAGGGUACUCUGAGGGUAGCGGUGAAAUGCUCUAAUCCUCGGGGGACCACCAGUGGCGAAGGCGCUUGACGAGAACGGACCUGACGGUGAGGGGCGAAGGCUAGGGGAGCGAACGGG